rnacentral:tRNA from 1 species
AGGUCAGUAGCUCAAUUGGUAGAGCAGCGGUCUCCAAAACCGCUGGUUGGGGGUUCGAGUCCCUCCUGACCUG